ensembl:lncRNA
CCCAGGCAGUUAAUUUAUUGUAUGACAGACUGUAUCCACACUAAAGCACACUGAGGUAUCUUCUCCUUUGGCUUUUAUUCAAACAGGUGUCAUUGUUGACCAUUCCAAGAUGAUGGGACUUUUGGUGUCUCUGAAGCAGCUGAACUUUAUGUACUGUGCAUAUCUAUGGUUUGCAGCCCUAACUGUGGUAAAUGCACAGGAAAUGUUACAACCCAAACCAGAUGAGGUCUGGAUUUCAAAUGAAGACAGAGGAAAACAUCUUUUAUUAGCAGACCAAGGAAACCCAAAUGUUCCAGGUAAGAUUCAAAUGGUAUUACAAAAUGUUAAUGCAAAAAGCCAAGGCAAAAAAAUUUGCACACCAAAUGAAAUGCAAAGUUCAAGGUUCUUUGAACAAGAGUUUGUUCCUAAAUAUUUACAUAGAGGUGACAACAAAAACUAAAGUGCACAAACAAAAAAGUGACUGUGCACACACAUAAAAAAAAAAAUGUUUCAGUCCUGGCUGGACUAUCUUCAGUGCUAAAGAUUCCAACACUAGUUAACAAACAUUUAAGGAGAUCAAGGCACAAAACAGAGACAUCAGAUGAUCAAACUGAAUCAGCUAGACAAUUAAUUGAAGAUGCAAUAGGUAAUUAACAAUCACCGCCCAUAUGGGUGGGUUUAACUGAACAAAUAGUAAAAAACCUCUAAAGAAAGCUAGAAAGAUUUAAAGUUUCAUUAAGACCAAAAGGUUGCUCAAUUUUAACUUGAAAAAUCCAACGGCUUUCACAUUGUAGUAAUCUUUGAUCAGUAUUGGAAUACUUGCGGGAUGGAUGAAUUCGGUCAAUACCACAAACAACUAAAGUGUGAGCAGGGUGAUUUGCAUCCUUAAAGUGUCUAGCUACUGGAGAUUUUAGAUCACUACUACAUAUAGAGCUACAAUGUUCAUUAAUGCAGGUGCAAAGCUGUCUGUUCCCUUUCAGUCGGUCACUCUCGACGUCACGUCGAAUGACUGACGAAUUGGGAUAUCGCUUCGAUAGACCAAUCUACUUUGAGUGUAAACUAAACGAGCUAAUGCACAUUGGCAUGCAAUUAUUGCAUCCAGCUGCAGCUGAUCACAGAGUAAGCAUAAAAAGGCAGCAGGUGCAAUGCAUACCAG